GGGUUUGCAGUCAGGUAGUUGGUGAGUUCGUGGGUUGCAGUUCGGGAGUUGGUGAGUUCGUGGGUUGCAGUUCGGUAGUUGGUGAGUUCGUGGGUUGCAGUUCGGGAGUUGGUGAGUUCGUGGGUUGCAGUUCGGUAGUUGGUGAGUUCGUGGGUUGCAGUUCGGUAGUUGGUGAGUUCGUGGGUUGCAGUUCGGUAGUUGGUGAGUUCGUGGGUUGCAGUUCGGUAGUUGGUGAGUUCGUGGGUUGCAGUUCGGGAGUUGGUGAGUUCGUGGGUUGCAGUUCGGGAGUUGGUGAGUUCGUGGGUUGCAGUUCGGGAGUUGGUGAGUUCGUGGGUUGCAGUUCGGGAGUUGGUGAGUUCGUGGCUGUGCCCGGUAGUUGGUGAGCUCCGGGGUUGCAGUUCGAGUUGGUGAGUUCGCUGGUUGCAGUUCGAGCAGAGUCGUGGGCUGCAGUUCGGUAGUUGGUGAGUCUGCGGCUGCAGUUCCCGGUAGUUGGUGAGUCUCGGGUUGCAGUUCGGUAGUUGGUGAGUCUGCGGGGCUGCAGUUCGUAGUUGGUGGUGCCCGGGUUGCAGUUCGGUGAAGCGGUGAGUCUGGGUGGGUUGCAGUUCGGUAGGCUGGGCGAGUUCGUGGGUUUGCAGUCAGGUAGUUGGUGAAUUCGUGGGUUUGCAGUUCGGUAGUUGGUGAGUUCGUGGGUUUGCAGUCAGGUAGUUGGUGAAUUUGUGGGUUUGCAGUUCGGUAGUUGGUGAGUUCGUGGGUUUUCAGUCAGGUAGUUGGUGAAUUCAUGUAGUUUGCAGUUCGGG